rnacentral:lncRNA from 1 species
UCUCUAUCAAAACCCGCCAUGCCAAGAAAAGAGGAUUACAAGAACGUUAUCUUAUUCAACAUUUCGUUUCCUGUGUCACAAAAUUCAAGCUCACUGACGCUAAAUAAAACAGUACAUCGUUGUACCGUAGUGUCAUUGUUGACGACAGACACAUCGUUGCAACAAUAAUCAUCCUGAUUGUUACAUUCUUUCAAUGUAGAUGCACCCAAGCAAAAAAUAUGUCGGGACCGAAUCGUAACCUUCUCCGCGAGUUCGCCUCGGCAGGGCUGACGCUCCUCAAACGCUCGAGGUCAGCCACCCUAACCAAAACAAACAAAUUAAGACAAAUAAACAAUAUAUUAAUAGGAAAACAAUGCAUAAUGUCCAUAGGAUGUGAUCAUGAAAGGAUUUUUUAUAUAACUCUAUUUCACUGAUAGAGUUAGGGAGAAAUAUCACGGUCACUUCAAUGACAAGAUUAGGGAGAAGCCUUAGACAACCCUGGAGGAUAUGAAACAAUCUUUUUUGUUUCUGAUGAAACCUCAAAAUGUAUUUGCUUUCUCAUGAUUACUAACAAUCACCAUCAUAUACACUUGGAUCUUGUACAUCAAACUGCAGAGAGAGAGAGAGAGAAAGAGAAAGAAAGAAAAGAGCAUCGAUAAAAAAGAAUCAGGCAUUCAGAAUGAGUAGGAGGUUUUACUUCGCUCAGAGAAUGAAUUCUCAGACGCAAAAGAGGUUCCUCAUCAUGCCUCUUUCAAAUCAUCUUAAAAAGUGUUCUUUCUUAACCAUGAAAAAUCACAGCAAAAAAAUUAAAACAAAAGAAACAAGUAUCAAGAGAAGACGGACACGGCGAGGUGAGUUGGUUUCUCUCAGACAAAUGCCUCGAUUCGUCCUCAUGUGGAAUGGAAUGGAUAAAUCGGACUCGUCAUCUAUGUUUAAUCUUCUCAUCACCGAGAAACCCACCGAAUUCCAAUCGUAACAUAAAACACAACGGAGAAGAGCAGCGGAGAACACUCAGAAAAAACAUAAAAGACAACCGAAUUCCACCGAUUGUCAACGAUUAACAAUCGAAACAUAAAAGAAAAAAAACAAAAAUAAAAGGAACAGAAUCGAACACUCAGAAGAGCAGCGGAGAAGAAAAACACAACGGCGCGGCUACCGUCCUCCAACGGGAUGGGCGAAGGUCAGAUGAUUGAGAUGGGGUUCCUCGAAGCCAUAUA